rnacentral:rRNA from 1 species
GCGAACGCUGGCGGCAGGCCUAACACAUGCAAGUCGAACGAACCUUUCGGGGUUAGUGGCGGACGGGUGAGUCACACGUGGGAACGUGCCUUUAGGUUCGGAAUAACUCAGGGAAACUUGUGCUAAUACCGAAUGUGCCCUUCGGGGGAAAGAUUUAUCGCCUUUAGAGCGGCCCGCGUCUGAUUAGCUAGUUGGUUGAGGUAAUGGCUCACCAAGGCGACGAUCAGUAGCUGGUCUGAGAGGAUGAUCAGCCACAUUGGGACUGAGACACGGCCCAAACUCCUACGGGAAGCAGCAGUGGGGAAUCUUGCGCAAUGGGCGAAAGCCUGACGCAGCCAUGCCGCGUGAAUGAUGAAGGUCUUAGGAUUGUAAAAUUCUUUCACCGGGGACGAUAAUGACGGUACCCGGAGAAGAAGCCCCGGCUAACUUCGUG